rnacentral:rRNA from 1 species
ACGUAGGUGGCGAGCGUUAUCCGGAAUUACUGGGCGUAAAGCGCACGCAGGCGGUCUUUUGGGUCUGACGUGAAAGCUCCUGGCUUAACUGGGAGAGGUCGUUGGAAACUGGGAGACUUGAGGCAAUGAGAGGGGUGUGGAAUUCCCGGUGUAGUGGUGGAAUGCGUAGAGAUCGGGAGGAACACCAGAGGCGCAAGCGGGUGCCUGGGCGACGACUGACACUGAGGGACGAAAGCGUGGGGAGCGAACAG